AGUAAGGAAUAUUGGUCAAUGGACGCAAGUCUGAACCAGCCAUGCCGCGUGGAGGAUGAAGGUCCUCUGGAUUGUAAACUUCUUUUAUUUGGGAAGAAACCCACGAUUUCUAUUGUGGUUGACGGUACCAGAUGAAUAAGCACCGGCUAACUCCGUGCCAGCAGCCGCGGUAAUACGGAGGGUGCAAGCGUUAUCCGGAUUCACUGGGUUUAAAGGGUGCGUAGGCGGGCAGGUAAGUCAGUGGUGAAAUCUCCGGGCUUAACCCGGAAACUGCCGUUGAUACUAUCUGUCUUGAAUAUCGUGGAGGUGAGCGGAAUAUGUCAUGUAGCGGUGAAAUGCUUAGAUAUGACAUAGAACACCCAUUGCGAAGGCAGCUCGCUACACGGUUAUUGACGCUGAGGCACGAAAGCGUGGGGAUCAAA
rnacentral:rRNA from 1 species